CCGGUGGCCCCCACACACUUCUCUCUCCUCACUCCGGUGGCCUCCCCACCCCCGCCGCCGGCCCGAGGAUCUCGCUCGCUCGGGAGCAGGCAAGGCCUCCCCGCGGACAUCGUCUCUACCGGUUCCGCUGCCACAGCCACCGCGCGCGCGUUAGAGGGCUCCACAGCGCCGGCCUCCAGCUCCCGCGGGACAAACUGGCGAGGACGCCCCGUUCCACCCUUCCUUCGAGCAGCCAGGGAUACGGUCCCCGCCGCCGUCCUUUGCACAGCUGCAGCUGGACGCGGAUGACGUGCUUCCACCGACCACCGCUGGCUGCCCUCAUGGCCAAGGCCAAUGGCACGACUGGUGCAGCUGUCGAGCCUGCUGCGCCUUAUCUAGCUUUGUUUGCCAUGAAUAUGAAAUGUGCAAGAAAAUGGCUGCUGCUGCUGCUUCUUUAGCAUAUGAAUGUGUCGAAAUAACUUAUCUCAAGGCUGCAUACCACAAGUACGCCAUUGCAAGCAAGGAUCGUCAGGUGUUUCAGGCAGCUGUGCAGACUACACCAGGUAGUUGAUCUAAUUGGUGAACAAUAAGGGUCUUAGAAAGAAGUUCUAACGGCAGGUUCUGAUCGACCUAGAUCUCAAUGGUGCUGGAAACUCUAAUGAGUUGGCUAAACUCGUGCACAAGGUCCAUUUGCUUUGCCUGCUAGCAUGGGGUAGGGUAAUUGACAAGGCUUGCAAUGAUCCUCUUAUUCAGGUGCAUAAUAUGUGUAUUCAUUUCUACCCUUUAAAUUGCCCAUGUUCCAAAAUGAUGCAAUUUCAUGAUACAUUUUCAGGAGUUCUAAACUGAGGCAUCUUUCAAGAUAAACCAUGUUUGUUGUUCAAAUGUUCUUUUCAGGCUUCAGUUCUCUAUGUUUUACCACACGAUUUAGUAUGGAAUGGUUUAGACAUUCAGAAACUGGGAUGCUAAUAACCUGUGUAGUCUUGUGAGCUGGGGUAUCUAUUGAAUCAAAUGUGGCUUUCGAACAGUCAUGUUGCACACGCCUGAAGAGGUAUUGUAUCUGCUCCCUUGUGAUUGGGCUUGCUGAAGGAAUUGGCUCCACCUUUUUUUUUCAGAUUUAAGAACCCUAAAAAAUUGAAAUGAGCAUAAUCACAUUACAUUGCACCACAAUAUAUUUUCUGUUUGGACAUAUAACUACUUGCAUCACUGAACAGCAUGGCACUAAUAAAAUUCUCCUUAGUCUAAUUAUACAAAACCAGUAGUAUUAAAAAUCAUAGAACGGAGAUUGCUUGUUGAUUACGUACUACAUGCCCAGCCCAGCUAGUAGAUAAAGAGGUAGUACUAAUUAGAACACGGACAUCUGACUCAUGGGAGCCUGAGAAGCCAGAAUCCACAUCGAGAACUCCAUUUUGAACUCCUGGGAGCAAAUGGUUUCAUUGCCACAAGGGACUAUCAUUUGUACAGACACCCAGCGUGCAUAGAUGCGUAGCCCCUACUAAGUUAUUGGCCUGCACCACAAGCUGCUGUCUGUUUGGUAGUAGAGCAAAAAUCUUAUCUUCAUCCACCUCCAUCGCAACUUCAUUUCCAAAACUGAUUUUGCCUGAAU